CCUACGGGAGGCAGCAGUGGGGAAUAUUGGACAAUGGGGGCAACCCUGAUCCAGCCAUGCCGCGUGUGUGAAGAAGGCCCUCGGGUUGUAAAGCACUUUCAGUGAGGAAGAACGCCUGGUGGUUAAUACCCAUCAGGAAAGACAUCACUCACAGAAGAAGCACCGGCUAACUCCGUGCCAGCAGCCGCGGUAAUACAGAGGGUGCGAGCGUUAAUCGGAAUUACUGGGCGUAAAGCGCGCGUAGGUGGCUUGAUAAGCCGGUUGUGAAAGCCCCGGGCUCAACCUGGGAACGGCAUCCGGAACUGUCAAGCUAGAGUGCAGGAGAGGAAGGUAGAAUUCCCGGUGUAGCGGUGAAAUGCGUAGAGAUCGGGAGGAAUACCAGUGGCGAAGGCGGCCUUCUGGACUGACACUGACACUGAGGUGCGAAAGCGUGGGUAGCAAACAGGAUUAGAUACCCGAGUAGUC
rnacentral:rRNA from 1 species